rnacentral:rRNA from 1 species
GUGGGCUGCAAUCAUCUCGUUAUUAAUUCUGACAACAUGGAAGUCAUUGACACAAUGAACAAUGGAGGACAUUCUGCAGGAGGAGCGGCGACAGUUUUCGAUGAUUGCUAUUUUAUGGCUUGUGAUUUUCCUCUUACUAGUUUUGAACAUUAUAAUAGGGAAGAGAAUAAAGUAGCUCAUGAGCUUGCUAGAUUAGCAAAAAGUUUGGUCACAAAGAAUUGGUUCGAGGAGCCUAUGGGAAAUAGUCUACCCGUUCUUUUAGACGAUGUAACCAUUGUUUCUAAUUAA